CGCGUAGGCGGUUUGAUCAGUUAGGUGUGAAAUUCCUGGGCUUAACCUGGGGCUGCACUUAAUACGGUCAGGCUAGAGUGUGAAAGAGGGUCGUGGAAUUCCCAGUGUAGAGGUGAAAUUCGUAGAUAUUGGGAAGAACACCGGUGGCGAAGGCGGCGACCUGGUUCAUUACUGACGCUGAGGCGCGAAAGCGUGGGGAGCAAACA
rnacentral:rRNA from 1 species